rnacentral:rRNA from 1 species
CACGUAGGGGGCGAGCGUUGUCCGGAUUUAUUGGGCGUAAAGAGCUCGUAGGCGGUUUCGUAAGUCGGAUGUGAAAACUCCAGCUCAACUUGGAGACGCCAUUCGAUACUGCGAUGACUUGAGUCCGGUAGGGGAGUGUGGAAUUCCUGGUCGUAGCGGUGAAAUGCGCAGAUAUCAGGAGGAACACCGGCGGCGAAGGCGGCACUCUGGGCCGGUACUGACGCUGAGGAGCGAAAGCGUGGGUAGCAAACAGG